rfam:Alligator mississippiensis ScZkoYb_124.1, whole genome shotgun sequence.
CAGACUGUACUUUCAGGGAUCAUUUCUAUAGUUGGUGACUAGAGAAAUGGGUCCAAAAGUGAUAUCUUUUAUUAGACCAACUGAGUAGUUGG